rnacentral:precursor_RNA from 1 species
UCCGAAAUCGCCCCCCACCGUUCUUCGGCGGGAGGAGCGGAGAUGGUCGUCCGUGCCCGCCAUGGGCGCGGUCGGCUGAAAUGAGCACGAGGUCCGUGGCCCACUCCACGACGAGCGGUGGCCCAUGAGGGUCGGCGUUGGUUCGUGUCGGGCGGGUGCGGCUCUGUGGGCAAACUUUAUCUCGUGGCCGGUGUCCCGCUUGCGGGCGGGGCCCGUUCGCAACCUU